rnacentral:rRNA from 1 species
AUGGGAAGCACUGUCAUUUCUGAAUUUACUUCCAUGUUAGCCAGGGUAGAUGUAGUAAGUAUGCAGUCUCUUUUCUCUUGGAUGGCUUGGAUUAUGGUUAUGGUGAAGGAUCUCAAUCGUGUAACCAUGCUUCGUGUUCUUCUGAAUUCCAUGGGAAUUUCUGGAUGGCUAGGGCUAUAUGCAUCACAAAUUCUGAAUUUCAGGAUGGCAGAAUGUGCAGUACAGGAAAGCAGAGCACACCGAAAUUCAGUUAGCACUCCUACAAACUGGAAUUCGCCAAACUGGCAUAUCAGACUCAGCGCCAGAUGGUAG